UACGUAGGUGGCAAGCGUUGUCCGGAUUUAUUGGGUUUAAAGGGUGCGUAGGUGGUCUAUUAAGUCAGUGCUGAAAUAUCCCGGCUUAACCGGGAGGGUGGCAUUGAUACUGAUGGACUUGAGUGGAGUUGAGGUAGGCGGAAUUGACGGUGUAGCGGUGAAAUGCUUAGAUAUCGUCAAGAACACCAAUAGCGAAGGCAGCUUACCAAGCUCUAACUGACACUGAUGCACGAAAGUGUGGGGAUCAAACAGG
rnacentral:rRNA from 1 species